AGAACCCCCAUGGUCUUGGUCUGAUCCCUUGACUGGGUUUCUGGGCUGCAGCCCCCUGCCUCCCAAUCGUAUUAAUGUAGCUGGCCCAGCUGGGCUGGGCCCCUGUAAACCCUUUGCCUCCAGAAGCCUGGGGCAUCAGCUGAAUAAAGUGACUGAAAACAAGGGCUUCAGACUUCCAUAUUAAUAAUUCACCCAAAGGUCAGUCCAAGCCACACCUUCCCUCUCACUUACACCUUCAUCUUCCCUUGCAGCCUUUGGCAAGUCCUCUAACCCACUUACCUUCAUCUCCAGCUGGAAUAGCCUGCCUGCUGCAGGUGCUCCCUCAAUCAGUGUGUCUCUGGUAGUGUCCUCCACACAGGCAACUGAUGAUGACCCACCUCCCCAAACCAGGGGAGGAGCUUUAUAGCUGUUCCUGGUCUUUUACAGCUCUAGGCUUUCAGCCCCGUCACCCUCUCUGCCUGACACCUGGAGAACAGCAGCUUCCCACAUAAUAGCCUCUUAACCUCCUUGAAGCUGUUUACCCCAACUAUUGCUUCAUUUCCUGCUUGUUUACCCCAAUAGCCUCCUUUGGCCGUACCCCAGACAGAUGGGCAGGCUAAUGCCAAGCAGGUAAACUGAGGCAAAUAGGGUGUUCAUGAAGGCUAAUACCGAUAGCUCCUGCAUUCUCCACCUGUGCAGCCGAAGCAUUGACUGCAAAGUGCAAACUAGGGUUGGAGCAGUAAGUGGGCAGCCCCUGGGGAAUAGUGUCCCCCCGAAAUCUGUCACUCGCCAGCUGUUGGGUUCUGGCUGAGGUAGCCAAAUGUGUGAUGUAGCUGAACCAGGGAGAGCAAAUGGGCAGCACAGCAGAAAGCAAGGUGGGGUCCUUGUUGUUCCAGCUGCUUUCUCUGUGUUAGUGUCAAUUGUUAAUGAGCUCUGGCAGCAGCCCAGUGGCCUGGUGCUACCCAAGGUUUGAGUGGGAGGGGCUGGAGGACAAGCUGGUGCUCAUCUGGCUGUGGGUUGGGGAAGGGAUGCAGCCUGCAGCCAGGCUGACACAUAUCAGCCACACUGGCUCUAGCAGCAACUGUCCCCAGGGGAGCUGCUGCCCUUCCGCCCUAGAGGAGUGAGCGGGGCCCCGGGCUUCGUGGGAUGGAGGCAGCCCAGUGUGAAGGCAUAGCACCCCCCAUCCAGACCAGUCUCCUCCAUGGAUGAUUUUGGUUGGGUGAAGGAGGUGAAAGACAAGCCCCUUUAUGGCCUGGAAGCCUUCUCCUGAAAUGGACACCCCAGCCAUCUGUGGGGUAAGCAAGCUGUAUUGCUGAUUGUUGCUACUAGAUGGCGACCUAGGACAGGACACAGGAAAAGUUUUCCUGAGACAUGAACCUGGUAAGAGAGAUGGGAUCUUAUUAGGGGACUAAAGGCAAACUAAAGAGAUAAACUACAAAUCCUGAUGUACUUCCCCUGAGACAGUGAAAGGAGGGAGCUAAUAACUGUCAUGAGUUUUAUAGAUAAUAGCAACAUUUAUAUAGCUUUCUUCAACUGCCUUAUACAUCCUAUGCAAUGAUUCUCUGGUGAUGAUUCUCUAUUCAGUUCUGUCAGAUGGUCCACAGAACAGGUAGAGUGCUCCAAAAAACCCAGCAGAACUAAGCAUCAAGGCUCUUUAAAUAUCUGUAGCUCAGCUCCCUAUUCAAUUCGAGGGACCUUUCCCCAUAGCAAAAGUAUGCAGCAUGUGCUAGCAAAUCCUGUACAGCCCUAGUACUGCACUGUAUUCCUGACCAUCUGUCCCCCAGGGCUGGGACUCCCCACAGCUCUGAUACUGCCCCUCUCACCUACCUUUGGAGUGAGUUACACACCUGGCAUGUUUUUAGGGCUGUUCUUUAAAUACCUGAGAGGAGGGACUCUGAGGAUCACCAUGGAAACAACACAACCAACAUCAGUCAGACACCAUCAAGUUAAUAGGUCAGCAAACACAUUGUACAUCAGCCCUAACCAAGCACACAUACCCUGCAGGCAGGGGGAGCACCGAAGGUGCAGGCAGGAGCACAGAAAGGAGCGAAGGCACAGGAACAAGCACGGGAAGGAGUGGUGGAGCACUUGGAGAAGGAGAGGCAGAGGGAAGAUGGGAAGAACAGCAGCAGCACAGGCAGGAGUGCUGGAAAGAGCAGUAGAUGUGCCCGGGGAGAGCACUGAAGGCACAGGAAGGAGAGUCAGGAGGAGUGUGAGCAGAGGCAUCGGGAGAAAGGAAUGAUGGAGUGGUGGCGGCACAGCACUGAGAAGAGGGGAGGGAUAGCUUAGUGGUUUGAGCAUUGGCCUGCUAAACCCAGGGUUAUGAGUUCAAUCCUUGAGGGGGCCACUUAGGGAUCUGGGGCAAAAUCCGUACUUGGUCCUGCCAGUGAAGGCAGGGUGCUGGACUCGAUGACCUUUCAGGGUCCCUUCCAGUUCUAUGAGAUAAGUAUGUCUCCAUAUUAAAAAAAAAAACAACACAACAACUAUUAACCAGGAAUGUAAAUUGCUUUCUUAUCAACUACCAGUUUGUCAGGAUAGAAUGUAUUGGGAAAUCAGUUCUUAUACGUAAAAGGUAUUGAUUAAAAUACAGGAAUUGGUUAUUAUAGCAACUAUAAGUAUGAAUGGAAAAGGGGUGUUAUGUAACCAAAAUAAAAAAAUAGUCAGUGAAUAAGUAUGUUAUAUUGGAAAUCCUUUAUAUUCAUGUUAAAUUCUAUAAACUGUAUGCUAUGUAGAUGCUGUGACCUUUCUAAGAACUCCUGUCUUCUGCUAUGUAUCUGCACUGGAGAACGCAAAACCUUUAAACUUUGCUAAUUUUUAAAACACUAUGCCUAAAA